CAAUAGCGUAUAUUAAUGUUGUUGCAGUUAAAAAGCUCGUAGUUGGAUUUCUGAUGGGAGCCCUGGUCACUCUAACGAGUGUACUGAUGUGGCGUCCUGUCGUUUCAUGGGGAUGCUUGCUGGUAUUAAGUUAUCGGCUUGUGGAUCCAUGUCGUUUACUGUGAAAAAAUUAGAGUGUUCAAAGCAGGCCAUCGCUGUGAAUACAUUAGCAUGGAAUAAUAAGAUAGGACUGUGGUGCUAUUUUGUUGGUUUGCGUACUACGGUAAUGAUUAAUAGGGAUAGUUGGGGGUAUUCAUAUUCAAUUGUCAGAGGUGAAAUUCUUGGAUUUAUGGAAGAUGAACUACUGCGAAAGCAUUUACCAAGGAUGUUUNCAUUA
rnacentral:rRNA from 1 species